rnacentral:rRNA from 1 species
GGGUUGUGAGGUUAAGCGACUAAGCGUACACGGUGGAUGCCUAGGCAAUCAGAGGCGAUGAAGGACGUGCUAAUCUGCGAUAAGCGUCGGUAAGGUGAUAUGAACCGUUACAACCGACGAUUUCCGAAUGGGGAAACCCAGUGCAAUUCGUUGCACUAUCGUUUGAUGAAUACAUAGUCAAACGAAGCGAACCGGGGGAACUGAAACAUCUCAGUACCCCGAGGAAAAGAAAUCAACCGAGAUUCCCCUAGUAGCGGCGAGCGAACGGGGAGCAGCCCAGAGUCUUAAUCAGCAUUAGCAUCAGGAGAACGGUCUGGAAAGUCCGGCAGUAAAGGGUGAUAGCCCGUAUCCGAAGGUGUUAGUGUUGUGAACUCGACGAGUAGGGCGGGACACGUGUUAUCCUGUCUGAAUAUGGGGGGACCAUCCUCCAAGGCUAAAUACUCCUGAUUGACCGAUAGUGAACCAGUACCGUGAGGGAAAGGCGAAAAGAACCCCGGCGAGGGGAGUGAAAUAGAACCUGAAACCGUGUACGUACAAGCAGUGGGAGCCUUGAUUUAUCAGGGUGACUGCGUACCUUUUGUAUAAUGGGUCAGCGACUUAUAUUCUUUAGCAAGGUUAACCGUAUAGGGGAGCCGUAGGGAAACCGAGUCUUAACUGGGCGAAUAAGUUGCAGGGUAUAGACCCGAAACCCGGUGAUCUAGCCAUGGGCAGGUUGAAGGUUGGGUAACACUAACUGGAGGACCGAACCGACUAAUGUUGAAAAAUUAGCGGAUGACUUGUGGCUGGGGGUGAAAGGCCAAUCAAACCGGGAGAUAGCUGGUUCUCCCCGAAAGCUAUUUAGGUAGCGCCUCGUGAACUCAUCUUCGGGGGUAGAGCACUGUUUCGACUAGGGGUCAUCCCGACUUACCAACUCGAUGCAAACUACGAAUACCGAAGAAUGUUAUCACGGGAGACACACGGCGGGUGCUAACGUUCGUCGUGAAGAGGGAAACAACCCAGACCGCCAGCUAAGGUCCCAAAGUCAUAGUUAAGUGGGAAACGAAGUGGGAAGGCUCAGACAGCCAGGAUGUUGGCUUAGAAGCAGCCAUCAUUUAAAGAAAGCGUAAUAGCUCACUGGUCGAGUCGGCCUGCGCGGAAGAUGUAACGGGGCUAAACUAUGCACCGAAGCUGCGGCAGCGAUAUGUAAAUAUUGUUGGGUAGGGGAGCGUUCUGUAAGCCUGUGAAGGUGUGCUGUGAGGCAUGCUGGAGGUAUCAGAAGUGCGAAUGCUGACAUAAGUAACGAUAAUGCGGGUGAAAAACCCGCACGCCGGAAGACCAAGGGUUCCUGUCCAACGUUAAUCGGGGCAGGGUGAGUCGACCCCUAAGGCGAGGCAGAAAUGCGUAGUCGAUGGGAAACGGGUUAAUAUUCCCGUACUGGUGAUAAUUGCGAUGGGGGGACGGAGAAGGCUAGGCUAUCCGGGCGACGGUUGUCCCGGUUUAAGGAUGUAGGCAGGUGAAUUAGGCAAAUCCGGUUCACUACAUGCUGAGGUCCGACGACGAGUCACUACGGUGAUGAAGUAGCUCAUGCCCCGCUUCCAGGAAAAGCCUCUAAGCUCUAGAUUAUCAUUAAUCGUACCCCAAACCGACACAGGUGGUCAGGUAGAGAAUACUCAGGCGCUUGAGAGAACUCGGGUGAAGGAACUAGGCAAAAUGGUGCCGUAACUUCGGGAGAAGGCACGCUGGCAUUAGGUGAAGUGAUUUACUCAUGGAGCUGAAGCCAGUCGCAGAUACCAGCUGGCUGCAACUGUUUAUUAAAAACACAGCACUGUGCAAACACGAAAGUGGACGUAUACGGUGUGACGCCUGCCCGGUGCUGGAAGGUUAAUUGAUGGGGUUAUCCGUAAGGAGAAGCUCUUGAUCGAAGCCCCAGUAAACGGCGGCCGUAACUAUAACGGUCCUAAGGUAGCGAAAUUCCUUGUCGGGUAAGUUCCGACCUGCACGAAUGGCGUAAUGAUGGCCAGGCUGUCUCCACCCGAGACUCAGUGAAAUUGAACUCGCUGUGAAGAUGCAGUGUACCCGCGGCAAGACGGAAAGACCCCGUGAACCUUUACUAUAGCUUGACACUGAACAUUGAGCCUUGAUGUGUAGGAUAGGUGGGAGGCUUUGAAGCGUGGACGCCAGUCUGCGUGGAGCCAACCUUGAAAUACCACCCUUUAAUGUUUGAUGUUCUAACGUUGCCCCAUUAUCUGGGGUGCGGACAGUGUCUGGUGGGUAGUUUGACUGGGGCGGUCUCCUCCCAAAGAGUAACGGAGGAGCACGAAGGUUGGCUAAGCAUGGUCGGACAUCAUGCGGUUAGUGCAAAGGCAUAAGCCAGCUUGACUGCGAGAGUGACGGCUCGAGCAGGUACGAAAGUAGGUCUUAGUGAUCCGGUGGUUCUGAAUGGAAGGGCCAUCGCUCAACGGAUAAAAGGUACUCCGGGGAUAACAGGCUGAUACCGCCCAAGAGUUCAUAUCGACGGCGGUGUUUGGCACCUCGAUGUCGGCUCAUCACAUCCUGGGGCUGAAGUAGGUCCCAAGGGUACGGCUGUUCGCCGUUUAAAGUGGUACGCGAGCUGGGUUUAGAACGUCGUGAGACAGUUCGGUCCCUAUCUGCCGUGGGCGUUGGAAGAUUGAAAGGGGCUGCUCCUAGUACGAGAGGACCGGAGUGGACGCACCACUGGUGUUCGGGUUGUCAUGCCAAUGGCAUUGCCCGGUAGCUAAGUGCGGAAGAGAUAACCGCUGAAAGCAUCUAAGCGGGAAACUUGCCUUGAGAUGAGUCUUCCCUGACUCUUUAAGAGUCCUAAAGGAACGUUUAAGACUAAGACGUUGAUAGGUUGGGUGUGUAAGCGUAGCGAUACGUUGAGCUAACCAAUACUAAUGAACCGUGAGGCUUAACCUGACAACACCGAAGGUGUUUUAG